rnacentral:misc_RNA from 1 species
AAGUCGUAACAAGGUUUCCGUAGGUGAACCUGCGGAAGGAUCAUUAUCGAGUUUUGAACGGGUUGUCUGCUGGCUCGCGAGAGCAUGUGCACGCCUGUCUCAUCCACUCUCAACUUCUGUGCACUUUUCAUAGGCCGGCUUGUGGGUGCGUUCGCGCACUUGUAGGUGUCAGGCUUAUGCUUUAUUACAAACGAUUCAGUUUUAGAAUGUCAUACUUUGCUAUAACGCAAUUUAUAUACAACUUUCAGCAACGGAUCUCUUGGCUCUC